rnacentral:rRNA from 1 species
UACGUAGGGCGCGAGCGUUGUCCGGAUUUAUUGGGCGUAAAGAGCUCGUAGGCGGCUUGUCGCGUCGGAUGUGAAAGCCCGGGGCUUAACUCCGGGUCUGCAUUCGAUACGGGCAGGCUAGAGUUCGGUAGGGGAGAUCGGAAUUCCUGGUGUAGCGGUGAAAUGCGCAGAUAUCAGGAGGAACACCGGUGGCGAAGGCGGAUCUCUGGGCCGAUACUGACGCUGAGGAGCGAAAGCGUGGGGAGCGAUCAGG